UAUUCAUAUAGUCUAAGUAAUAGGAUUUUGUUUUGAAGCAACAAAGGUGAAUUAUAAUCUCUGUGAAUAUC
rnacentral:tRNA from 1 species